CUCAUAUUUUCUUUUUAAACUCCCUCUCAUUUUAAUACAUAUUUUGUAUUUUCUUUCAAUAAAUGCUGUCAUGCAGCUCCUCUACUUCCUUUAUUGAGAAAACACUCAUGGUGGAAAAAAAAUGAGAGGGAGGGAGAAACAGAGAAAGGAAACAGAAAUCAUAACCAAAAAGUUUGCACCAAUUAUUGAAAUAGUCAGUGUUCCCUCGGGCUGAGAGAAAGGGAAAGGCGCUUUUACAGUGUCUUGGAAUUUUUUUCUUCUGCACAAUUCUGACUUUUCAGCAAAUAUUCAUGCUACAGCGAGAGAGAAGGAAAGAAAACAAAAACGAUUCAGGGGUUUUACCAUCCUUCCUGCUCGUAGCAUUCUCACAGCUGGGUGAGAAGAGAUCUGGGAACACUCUGGCUGUGCACUGGUUGUAUCAUCUCUGGUGCUCUGGAAAUCCACAGCUGUGAUCUUCCAGCAGAUUCUGUCUGUGACACACUGGCUCAAGGGAUGUCCAAGUCAUACAGAUUGGUGCAGCCUUCUCCAGAAGAAACUGAGUAUCCCACCUAUGGAUGCCUUACAGAUCAUAUCAAGGACAGUCUACUGGAAGUGAACAUCGUUUUAGGCAAGAGAGGUAGUAAUCUAGAUCUCAUGUGCUUCAAGGAAAUGCUUAAAUUUCCUUUUAGGAAGGAAAUGUGUGCUUG
rnacentral:lncRNA from 1 species